rnacentral:rRNA from 1 species
UACGUAGGGUGCAAGCGUUAAUCGGAAUUACUGGGCGUAAAGCGUGCGCAGGCGGUUUUGUAAGUCUGUUGUGAAAUCCCCGGGCUUAACCUGGGAAUGGCAAUGGAGACUGCAAGGCUAGAGUUUGGCAGAGGGGGGUAGAAUUCCACGUGUAGCAGUGAAAUGCGUAGAGAUGUGGAGGAACACCGAUGGCGAAGGCAGCCCCCUGGGUCAAAACUGACGCUCAUGCACGAAAGCGUGGGGAGCGAACGGG